UGUCUGGCGGCAGUAGCGCGGUGGUCCCACCUGACCCCAUGCCGAACUCAGAAGUGAAACGCCGUAGCGCCGAUGGUAGUGUGGGGUCUCCCCAUGCGAGAGUAGGGAACUGCCAGACA
rnacentral:rRNA from 1 species